rnacentral:tRNA from 1 species
GCCUCCGUGGCGCAAUCGGUUAGCGCGUUCGGCUGUUAACCGAUAGGUUGGAGGUUCGAUUCCUCCCGGUGGCG